rnacentral:rRNA from 1 species
AGAUACGUGAAACUGCUUAGAGGUUAAGCCCGAUGAACCUGAAUAUCCGUUAUGGAAAAUUCAUCACUAAUACUUUAAUAUUAAUAAUAUUUUAGGAAUAGUGUGCAAUUUUUCCAUAUAAGGACAUUGUAAUCUGUUAAUGUAAUAAAUAUUUAUUAAAAGAUCUUAUACUUAAGUUUAUUCAAAUUAGUUAUUUUCGAAUUUCUAACAUAAAAUAAAUGUAUUUGAUUUAAUAAAUCAUUGACAGAUUUAUUUGUAUAUAGCGCUCAAAUUUUGAACGAAAUUUUACAAUAAUAUGAUAAUUCUAUUUAUUAUAUUUAUUGUAUGCGCUUAUAUGAUUCACAAUGCGAUAGAUUCAGGAUACCUUCGGGACCCGUCUUGAAACACGGACCAAGGAGUCUAACAUAUGUGCAAGUCAUUGGGUAUUUUUAAUAAAACCCAAUGGCAUAAUUAACUUAACUGUUAUUUAUAUGGGAUUAGUUUAUAUUUUGUUAUGAAAUAUUAAUUCAAUCCCGGGGCGUUCUAUACAGUUAUGCAUAAUGAUAUUUAUAUUAUUUAUGCCUCUAACU